rnacentral:pre_miRNA from 1 species
GGGGAAUGUUGUUUGGAUCGAGGAUAUCAUAUCACACCAUACACAAGUUUAUAUCCUGAUAUUACGAUAUGCAUGAUACGAUUGUGUAAUAAUGUACAUAUAUAUGGUAUCGUCGGACCAGGCUUCAUUCCCC